UAGCUUACUGGCAGAGUGCUUGCCUACCAUGCAUGAGGACCUGGGUUCAAUUCCUAG
rnacentral:tRNA from 1 species